GACGAACGCUGGCGGCGUGCUUAACACAUGCAAGUCGAGCGGUAAGGCCCUUUCGGGGGUACACGAGCGGCGAACGGGUGAGUAACACGUGGGUGACCUGCCCUCAGCUCUGGGAUAAGCCUGGGAAACUGGGUCUAAUACUGGAUAUGACUCCACGGUGCAUGUCGUGGGGUGGAAAGCCUUGUGCGGCUGAGGAUGGGCCCGCGGCCUAUCAGCUUGUUGGGGGGUGAUGGCCUACCAAGGCGACGACGGGUAGCCGGCCUGAGAGGGCGACCGGCCACACUGGGACUGAGACACGGCCCAGACUCCUACGGGAGGCAGCAGUGGGGAAUCUUGCGCAAUGGGCGAAAGCCUGACGCAGCGACGCCGCGUGAGGGAUGACGGCCUGGU
rnacentral:rRNA from 1 species